UACAACAUUAGCUCGUCGACAUUGUCGUUGUUAAACGUGACGAGUUGCAAAUCGGAAAAAAUCUUUACUAAUAUUCUUAAUAAUGUAGUUAUUUGUGUUUGCUUAGCUUUUCCAAUAUCAGUAAUUGAUAAUUCACGCUAAAUUUUAUUUCACGGUAGUGAUCAAAGUACUUUACGAAUAAUUUAGAACUGUCGAUAUAAACGGACACAUUUUAAAUCUUCUAAAGACCUGGUGAUGGUCACGAAUUUUGGAAAAUAUUUACAACGCCAUCUAUGGAGUUCUGAGUGAAAUCAAUUCUGACGUCCACGAGGUUGAAGACCCUCAAGAGCUGGUCGUCCCAUCAUCGAGCAGACUACUCGUUUCUUUGGCGUCAAUAAACUUAAUGAAAAUGUAAAAUGAUAUAUGAUAAGAAACCUUUGAAUUAUUGGCUUUCUGCACAACGGGAGCACAGUACCAGUUGAAAGGUUGGAAAACAGAACGAACGCAGCUCCUCAUAGCUGUCAUGAUUUUGUAUUGCAAGUAUAAGAUUUGUUUGUCAUGGAGACGUCGUGUUUAUUACAAUGUAUUAAAAAAGAUAUUCUAAAUCUAAUAUUAAAGAAUCUUGUUUCUGAAGGAUGUCCUGUGUUCCUAGUCCUUCUUAAUGUUUAAUUCUUUACAUGUAGAAUUUGUGAGAAUG